AUCACUUCUCGGCCUUUUGGCUAAGAUCAAGUGUAGUAUCUGUAACAUAAAAAACAUUUUCUUGUCUGCAAAGUACAGGUGAAACUCGAAAAAUUGGAAUAUCGUGCAAAAGUUCAUUCAUUUCAGUAAUGCAACUUAAAAGGUGAAACUAAU
rnacentral:snRNA from 1 species